GUUUAGAAAAUUAUUAAAAUUAAAUUUUUAAAUAUUUUGAUUAAAAUAUUAAAUUUUUUAUUAAUUAAAUGAAAUAAUUUUAUUAAUUAUAAUGAAAUAGUACUGUGAAGGAAUUUAUUUAAAUAUUAAAAAGAAAUAUUAUUAUGUACCUUGUGCAUCAGGGUUUAUCAAUUAAAAUUUAUAUAUUUUAUUAUUCUCGAAUUUAAAAGGGCUAUAUUAUUAUUUAUUUUAUUGUUUCAUAAAUAUUUAUAAUAAUAAUAUAGAAAUGAAAUGUUAUUCGUUUUUAAAUAUAUCUAGUUUUUUAAGAAAAAAAUUUAAUUUUAUUAAUAAAUUUUAAAGAAUUAAUUUUUAGUUUAUUGAAUUUAUUAUUAAAUAUUUUUAGGGAUAAGCUUAAAGAUAAAUUUUUAUAAUUAAUUUAAAAUAUUAUAAUUUAUAGAAUUAAAAAUUUUUAUUAUUAGAAAUUUGUUAAAAUUUGUUAUUUUUAUAAUAUUAUUUAUAUUAAAUUUAAUUUUUUUAUUAAAAUAAAAUUUUAAAUAUUUUAAAAUUUGAAAUAAUGAUAAAAUUAGUAUUUAUAUAUAUAUAUAUAUAUAUAUAUAUAUAUAUGUAUGAAAGGUUAAGUAAAGGAAUUCGGCAAAUAUAUUUUUCACCUGUUUAUUAAAAACAUCUCUUUUUGAUUAUAAUUUAAAGUAGGGCCUGCCCACUGAAUAUUUAAAGGGCCGCAGUAUUUUGACUGUGCAAAGGUAGCAUAAUCAUUAGUUUUUUAAUUGAAAGCUAGAAUGAAUGGUUUGAUGAAAAAAUUUCUUUCUUUAUUUAAUUUUAAAAUAAAUUUAUUUUUAAGUUAAAAAGCUUAAAUAAUUUUAAUAGACGAGAAGACCCUAUAGAGUUUAAUUUUUUAAAUAAAUAAAUUUUUAGAAUUAAAAAAUUUAAUUAUCUAAAAAAAUUUAAUUGGGGUGAUUAUAAAAUUAAAUUAACUUUUAUUAUUUGAAACCAUUAAUUUAUGAAUAAAUGAUCCAUAAUAAUGAUUAAAAGAAUAAAUUACCUUAGGGAUAACAGCGUUAUUUUUUUUUAGAGUUCAAAUCGAAAAAAAAGAUUGCGACCUCGAUGUUGGAUUAAAGUUAAUUUUAGGUGCAGAAGCUUAAUAAUUUGGUCUGUUCGACCAUUAAAACUUUACAUGAUCUGAGUUUAAACCGGUGUAAGCCAGGUUGGUUUCUAUCUUUAUAUAGUUAAUAAAUUUUAGUACGAAAGGACCAUAUUUAUAAUUUAAAAUUUAAUUUUAGAAUAAAAUU
rnacentral:rRNA from 1 species